rnacentral:sRNA from 1 species
UUUUUUUUUCAAUUUUUU